rnacentral:lncRNA from 1 species
GUGAUAAUAUCCGGAAGUAGGGUCCAGUUCACAAGGCCAAUACUAACGGGAUUUUUCGUUGGAGGUGUUUCAGGGUGAAAUUAAAUAACUACCAGGAGGAGAUCCGUGACAGGUAUUGUGCUACUUCCACGGAUGCUUCCAUAAUCGAUACAACUAUGUCAUCAUUGGAGCUAAGCUCAUCGUCCAACGUCAAUUCAGAUG